UUAGAUGUUCAAAGUUACUUGUUAAAAACACAUUAUUUUAUUCUGCAAGAACCUGAAACAUUAGCAGUUGGUCGUUAGGGAUACAAAUAUAAACAGAGAAAGAAUUAAUGUAUUUUCUCAUUGCCUUUGUUUCUGCUGUGGGCAUGAAAUAUUACAUCUAACAAAUGUAUAAUGAUAGUUUGCCUGAGUUUGAAUUCUAGAUUUGCCACUUAUUCUUAGCCAAGUGAUUCAGGGAAGACUAUUUUCUAUAAGCCUUUGUUUUCUCAUCUGUAUAGUGGGUUUACCAGUAGCAUAUACCUGACAGAAUUACUGUGAAGAUUAGAUGAGCACAGUUCAAAUAAGUUUAAGAAGUUAGGUAAAUUUAAGAGUAUUUACUCUAAUCAACCAUAAAGAGUUACUUUCAGUAUUCUAAAUGCAGAAAAAUAACAGCUUUUAGGUUAAGUUUCUAGACUCUUUUUGGCAGUUUACUUGUUUACUUAGCAGCUAGUCCCUGAGAUAGUAAAUAGAAUGAGAACAAUUGAAUGAAAGUUUAACCUAGAUAUUUUAAUGGUUGUCUUCAUGUUUUAAAUGUGUUAAGCUUGUUUUCAAAGGUAAAAAGUAAUACUCAAUUGUAGUUUAUUAGUUAUUGGUUUACUAAUAUAAAUUUGCAUUCUUUCUCAUAUAUUCAAUACAUUUUCUAGACCACUGAUUCCUAAACUUGUGUCAUCCUAGGAAUCGUCUUGGGUGCCUAUUUAAAACACCAAUUUCUGGGCCUUACCAUAGAUCUUUUGUGGAGGAACUUAGUAUUUUAUGCUGGCUAUGUAGGUUAGUCUUGUGCUCAAGCAGUUUUGGAAAACAAUGUGCUGAGUAUACAACAGUGAGUGUGAGAGACAUGGUUUCUGCCCCCAUUAAUUUUAUAGUAUUUUAGGUCUUCUUUUGAGUCAUUAAGUGGAAAUUAGUUUUUUUUUCUUCUUUCUAAGGAGCAAAAAGGGAGUUUAGAAUUAUAAAAAUAUUCUUUGGAAUUAAGAUGUGAAAGUGGACUUUAUGUUACUUCUUAAACAAGCUUUUUUUUUUUUUUUUAAAGAAAAGUACUAUUAAAGUAACAAAUCUGAAAUCCUGAACCGUUGUUGUAACCAUUCUGCUGAUGUAGGAAAAGGACCUUUGGAGAAGCAAAAAGUUUUGUGAGCUUCCUUGGUGACUCAGCAAUAAAGAAUCUGCCUGCCUAUGCACGAGAUGUGGGUUCGAUCCCUGGAUGGGGAAGACUUCCUGAAGAAGGAAAUGGCAACCAUCUCUACUAUUCUUGUCUGGAAAAUUCCAUGUAACCAGGAACCUGGCGAGCUACAGUCUAUGGAAUUGCAAAAGAGCAGGACACGACUUAGCAACUAAACAACAACAAUGCAAUAUUAUAUGUAGACAUUAGAAUGUAAGAAAACUAAGAGAUGAAAACAUACUGCCAGAGUGGAUUGAUUAAUAAAAUACCUCACAGAGGACAAUUAUAUACAUAUGCAAAUAGGAAGGGUUUAUUUUCCUACCAAAAAAUAGAACCAGAAAUUAAACCUGUGCUUUUUGAUUGUAUUCUGUUUAUUAACACUAUGUUCCCAGUUGCUGUAUUCGUUUAUGGGUGUUUAGUUUCCAGAUUAUGCUUACAGAGGGUCAUUUUGGUACAGUGGUUAAAAGUAUCAACUUUGGAAUCAAAGAAACUUGAGUUAAAUCCACAUGCUCCCACUUACUAGUUUUGUGACCUUCAGUGAAGUCCUUUUUGACUUUCAGAUUUGUAAAUCUCUAAAAUGGUGUUAAAAUUAUUAGGUUGGUGCAAAAGUAAUUGCAGUUUUUGCAUUGUUGAAAUUUGCAAAUUGGUUAUGUUGUACAUCAUUUUAGUGCACAUUUCUCACUUUAUAUAUUUUUUUGCUAAUGACUUAUUACUUGAUGUUUAUAUAUUUUAAACUGUGGAAAUGAUGUUAGACAAAAAGCAAAUUUGAGCAGUUUUCUUAUUUGCCAAAAUGGGCGAUAAAACAGCACACUCUCAACAUCAGCAGUUUAUUUGGCCUAGGAACUGCUGAUAAACGUACAGUGCAAUGGUGGUUCGAGAGGUUUUGCAAAGGAGAGGAGAACCUUGAAGAUAAGGAGUGUAGUGGCCAGCCAUUGGAAGUUGACAGUGACCAUCUGCGAGCCAUCAUUGAAGCUAAUCCUCUUAAAACUACAGGAGAAAUUGCCAAAGAACUCAACAUUGAUCAUUCUAUGAUCAUUUUGGCAUUUGAAGCAAAUUGGAAAAGUGAAAAAGCUCCGUAAGUGAGUGCCUGAUGAGCUGACCGCAAAUUAAAAAAAAAAAAAAUUGUUUUGAAGUGUCAUCUUGUCGUCUUACUCUAUCCAACAAAAACGAACCAUUUCUCUAUGGGAUUGUGAUGUGUGACAAAAAGUGGAUUUUUUAUGACAACCAGCAACGACCUACUCCAGUGGUUGGACCAAGAAGAAACUCCAGAACACUUCCGAAAGCCAAACUUGAACCAAGAGAAGGUCAUGGUCACUGUUUGGUAGUCUGCUGCCAUUCUGAACUACUAUAACUUUCUGAGUCCCUGUGAAACCAUUACAUCUGAGAAGUAUUCAGCAAAUUGAUGAGAUAUACCAGAAACUACACUUGCAGCUGGCAUUGGUCAACAGAAAAGGCCUGAUUCUUCUCCACGACAACGUCCAACUACAUGUUGUAUAACCUUCAAUGCUUCAAAAGCUGAGUGAAUCGGCCUACAAAGUUUUGCCUCAUCUGCUGUAUUCACCUGACCUUUUGCCAACUGACUACCAUUUCCUCAAGCAACUUGACAAUUUUUUGCAGGGAGAACACUUCUACAACCAGCAGGAAACAGAAAAUGCUUUCCAACAGUUCCUUGAAUCUUAAAAGCACAGAUUUUUAUGCUACAGGAAUAUACAAACUUAUUUCUUGUUGGCAAAAAUGUGUUGAUUGUAAUGGUUCCUAUUUUGAUUAAUAAAGAUGAGUUUGAGUGUAGUUACAAUGAUUUAAAAUUCAUGGUGCGAAACCAUGGUUACUUUUGUACCAAUCUAAUAAUGCUACCUACUUUCAAGUUUGUUGUGGAGAUUAAAUGUGAUUUGUACAAAGUGCUUAGCAUGUUAUGGUUAGCAUAUAGCAGCUAAUAUUUAUUGGGCACUUACUAUUAGGAGUCGUGGUGUCAAUCUUAACUAUUAUGUGGUGUUUCUUUGUGGAAAAGUAUAAAAUACUUGCAAAAAUAGAGAAUUUUAAGUGUGCUAAGGGUACUUGUUAAUUAGAUGUAAUCAUAGCUAGUUUCUCUGCAUAUAUAUUUCUUAUUUUAAAAAUUAAACACAAAUGGAUUGUUCUGUAUAAAUUUCUCUGCAGCUUCAUUCAUUCAUCAGUAUAUCUUGGAUAGCUUAACUUUGAACAUACAGCUAUGUCAUUCCUUUUUAUGGUUUCAGAAUAUUCCAUUUUUUGAAGUACAUUAAUUUAUUUAAUGUCAUACAUUAAUGGAAGUUUUGGUUGUUUCCAGAUGUUUAAAAUUAUAAUUUUUCAGUAUAUUCUUAUCUUUGUGUAUAUAUGAGCAUAUCUAUACAAUAAAUUUCUUAACAGCAGUGUGUGCAUUUAAAAUUUUGGUAGAUAGUACCAGUAUUUUUUCUUUCUGUUUUGUUUUCUUCAGCUUUCUCAAGGUAGAAUUGGUAUUCACUAAACUGCACAAAAAUUGUGUAAUUUAAUCAGUUUGGGUAUAUUUAUGGACCCAUGGAGGCAGUGCUACAAUUAAGAUAGCAAAUAUUUCUCUGACUCCCCAAAUUUUCUUGAACCAUUUGUAAUCCAUUUUUUUUUUCUCUACUCCCAUCCUCAGGCAGGAACUGAUCUGCUUUUUCUUACUGCAGUAUAGUUUACUUUUGCUCCAGUUUUACCCAGAAUCAUAGUCUGUAUUCUUAAUUUUUUGCCUCGCUUCUUUUGUUCAAUUAUUUUGAGAUUCAUCCAUGUUAUUGUGUGUGUCAGUGAUUCAUUCCCUUUUAUUAUAUAUAUUAUAUAAUUAUAUACAUAAAUUAGUGUAGAUAUACUAAUUUUUUUUCCAUUCAUGAAUUAAUGGACACUUGUUUCCAAUAGUUAGUAUUACAAAAGAGCUUCUACGAACUUUCAUGUAGUCUUUGUAUAAACAUAUAUUUUUGUUUCUCUUACAUAAAUACUUAGGAAUGGCAUGGCUGGGCUAUGUGGUAGGCAUAUACUUAACUUUUUAAGUUUUAUAGUUUUAGAUUUUAGAUUUGUAUCUGUGAUCCAUAUUGAGUUGCCUUUUGUGUAUGGUGUGAGUUAAGAGUGUUUUUUUAUCCCCCACAAGUCUCUUUAGUUGAUCUCAUAGCGUUUCUUGAAAUGCUUUUCAUUUUUCCAUUGGGUUGCUUUAGCAUUUUUGUUAAAAAUCAAUUGACUAAAUAAAUGUAAGUCCAUUUCUGAAUCCUCUAUUUUCUUCCAUUGAUUUGUAGAUAUAUUUGCCAUUACAGAGUGUUUUAAUUGCUAGAGCUUUGUGGUCCUCCACCUUUUUUUUUUUUGAAUUGCUUUGGUUAUUCUGUGUCCUCUGCAUUUCUAUAUAACUUUUAGAGUUACUUUGUUAACUUUUCUAAAACUGCUUGCUGGAAUAUUGAUUUGGAUUGUUUAAAUUUGGGGAGAGUUGCCAUUUUGAUAAUACUGAGUAUUCUGAUCAUUAAAAGUGAUGUGUCUUUUUAUUUAAGUCUUUAAUUUUGUUCAGCAGUGUUUUGUAGUUUUCAGUGUAGAGGCCUUGGAUAGCUUUUAUUAUAUUUAUUUCUAGCUAGUUUAUGUUCUUUGGUUGUACUAUAUACUUGGUAUUUAAAAAUUUUUUUCACUUUCCAGUUUGCCGCUAGUAUAUAGGAAUACAAUUAAUUUUGUAUAUUAAAUUUAUAUCCUUCAAUCUUACUAAAUUUAUUUAUUCUAGUAGGUUUGUAGAUUCCCUGAGAUUUUCUAUGUAAUCAAUCAUAUCAUUGAAAAUUUAAAAAUUUUCAUUUAGUUAAUUAAUUAAUUUGGUUGCUCUUGAGUCUGUUGCUGUGAUGGGCUUUCUCUAGUUGUGGCAAGUGGGAACUACUCUUUGUUGCAUGCGCAGGCUUCUCAUUGCUGUGGCUUCCCUUGCUGCGGAGCAUUGGGCUGUAGGCACUGGGCGUCAGUGGUUGCAGCAAGUAGACUCAGCUGUGGCUCGCAGACCCCGGAGCGUGCAGACUUAACAUGGUUGUGGCACGUGGGCUCAGUAGUUGUGGCGCACAGGCGUAGUUGCCUUGUGGCAUGUGGAAUCUUCCCGAACCAGGAAUCAAACCUGUGUUCUCUGCACUGCAAGGCGGAUUCUUAACUGCUGGACCACCAGGGGAGUCCCUUAUCUGUAUUUUAAAAAAAAUUUUACUUACUUAAUUGUUUAUUUUUGGCUGUAUCACAUGGCUUGCAGGAUCUUAGCUCCCCAACUAGGAAUUGAAGCCAUGCCCUGGGCAGUGAGAGGACAGGCCCCUAACGACUGACCCCUAGGGAAUUCCCAAUCUUAUCAUCUUUAAAUAGGGCUGCUUUAAUUCUUUCAUUUCAAUCUUUAGUUUAUUCAUUUAUUUAGCCUUAAUACAGUGCUGGAAGCUCUACAAUAAUGCUGAAUAGAAGUGGGAAAAAUGGAUAUUCUUGCUUUGUUUUUGAUCUUGGGAGAAUGCAAUUUAGUUUUUCAUCAUUAAAUAUGAUGCUGUCUGACAGUUUGAGAAAGUACCUUACUAUUCCUAGUUUGCUGAGAGUUUUUUCUUUCAUUUUAAUACCAUAAAUUGAUUUGAAUACUAUCAACAGUUUUCCUUAAACUGUUGAAAUAACUAUAUGGUUUUUCUCCUUUAUUCUGGCAAUAUGGUGAAUUACAUUGAUUGAGCUUGGAGUGUUAAAUCAGCGUGUGUUUCUGACUUCCCUGCACAGAGGACGCUGGAGGGCUACAUGGGGUCACAAAGAGUGGGACCUGACUGAGCAAUUAACACUUUCACUUUCCACUUGCUAGCCUUAACCCUAACAUGACAUUAUGUAUUAUUUUCAUGUACUAUUAGAUUCUCCUUGCUCAUACUUUGUUAAGGAUCUUUGGGUAGCUUGUAAUUGUUUUUUUAAAUGACUGUGUUAGGUUUAGAAUUAGAAUUACUCUGACCUCAAAAAACCAGUUGUGCUGUGUAUUAGCUACCUAUUUCUUUGUAACAAAUUAUUUCAAAAUUUAUUACCUAAAAAACACAAUCAUUAUCUCAUGGUUUCUGUGAGAAAGGAAUUCAUUCGUGACUUAACUGAGAGACUCUGGUUCAAGGUAUCUCACAGGGCUGCAGUCAGGGUAUAGGCUGGUGCUGCAGUCCUCUCCAGACUACAGCUGAAGGAUCAGCUUCCAGACUUUCAUGGAUGAACUAUAGUUAUCUGAAGGCUUGGCUGGGGCUGGAAUAUCUACUUCUAAGCUCACUCCUGUGGCUUUUGUGAGGAGUCGUCAGUUCUUCACUGUUUGUUGGCCAGAGGUCUGAAUUAUUUGCUAUAUGGACCUUUUUUUUCUAAGAGUUUCUUUCAUGUCAUCACAAUAUGUAACUUUUCCCCCCUAGAGUGAAUAAUUCAAGAGAGAGAGGCAGAUGCCACAAUGUCUUAUAAAGUAGCUCUGAAAGUCUGGCACUUCCAUUUCUGCCACAUCCUAUUUUUGUUGGAGGCUUAAAUGCAGCAUACAUUCAGCAGGAGAGGGACUCGAGCUUCAACUUUUUGAUGAGAGAAAUGUCAAAGAAUUUUUGUACAUAUAUAACACCAUAUCAACCAUAUAUCUGUAUGUUUAUCACUGUUAUAGACCACAAUAAAGAGUGUUCCCAGUGAUCCUUGACUCCUGGUAUUCACUCCCUUGUGUAAUUUCUUCUCAUGUAUUAGAGUUGUUUGUGUGACCAACGGAAUAUGGCAGAAGUGAUGAUUUGUCACUUCUGAGGCUAGCUUAUAAAAGGACUGAGGCUUUCUCAUGGACCACUUACUCUGGGGAGUAAUAGUUGGUGUUGUAAGCAGCCAUAUGUAAAGGCCCCUGUAGUGAGAGAUAGGCCUUCUGGCCUCUGCCAUGUGAGUCAGCCAUCUUGGAUAUGGAUUCUUCCUAGUCAUGUCUUCAGAUGACCAGCUAACACCUUGGCAAAUAAGCUACUACUGGAUCCUGGCACUCAAACUGUAUGAGAUUAAUAAAUGUUUUUGAUUUAAGCUGCUAAAUUUGAGAGUAUUUUGUUACAGAGUAUCAGAUAACUAAUUCAAUUACUUUAUCUUUUUAGCACUUAAUAUGUAUUUUGUGUGAAUGUUUCUCCAAAAUUAUUGAUGGAAAUUUAAAAAUAUGAAAUUUUCAUGACUCUUUAAAACAUUUUUUUAAAUAAAGUGUAGUAGUUAAUUAGCUACAAUAGUAUAUAAAAGUGCCUGUUUGCCCAUUCACCUUUGCAACACUGAAGCUUUUGUAAAGGCCAUAUUGGUUUUAAUCCAUUGUGACCACAGUUACACCUGUUGCAUUUCAUGUUUGUAUUUAGUAGUGAGUCUUCAGUAUGAUUGUAAGAAUACACAUAUAAGGUACUUUUUAAUUUAUAUUUAUGUUUUAAGCAAAUACAGGAGUUGAAGUUAUAGUUUAAAAAUGUUUAAUUUCUGAGUACUAAAAGUCUGAAAGCAUUUAGAAAUACAAUUGUAUGAAAUAGCUAUUGUUUGUAAGCACUUUAUCCACAUCUUAUUUCCGUAAAAGAAUCAUAUUACAGUUAGUAUUAGAUCUGCUCUUUGGACAGCUGGAAAGCAGGAUGAGGAAAAAUCAUUCUCCUCUUGUCCAGUAGAAAGUAUAUUGUGCCCUCUAGUACCAGACUUGUGUUUUUUUUAAAGGAUAAUAGAUUCCUCACAGGUGAGCCAGUUCUUUUGUGUUCUUACCAGGUGUGUUAUUGAUUUUCAUGAUGGUAGUCUAGGUACUCUCAUUCAACAGUAGCUUUAGUAAGUUCUCCAAAAGAACACAAAGAAAACCAGAGAUUUUUGCAUUUUGAGUUCAAGGAAAUGAAUUUCCUCAAAUCUUUUGGCUGUUGUACUUUUCCUUCCUAGAUGCUUAUAAACUGUGAUAUCUUUGAAAGAUAUAUGUAAGGUAUGUAGUUUCCCUUUUUUUUCUUUGGCAUGGAUUGUAUGAUUUAUUUAAUUUAGAAUGUGAAAACAAAGUAUUGACUUACAGUUUUUUUUCUUGCCUAUAAACUGAGUUACGUUAGGGUGGGAAGGUUGCAGAAGGUUAUCCAUGUCCCAGAUUCUAGAAAUAAUCAAGUUCACAUAGUUAUCGAGAGUUAAUAAAUUGUUUGACAGUUACUUCACCCUUAAAUUACAAUACUAAAAUAUACUUUGGGUCCUAACUAAGGCAACAUUGAGAGUAAUCUGCUUCUCUAGUAGCUCAGCUGGUAAGGAAUCCACCUGCAAUGAAGGAGACCCCCAUUUGAUUGCUGGGUUGGGAAGAUUGCCUGGAGAAGGGACAGACUAUCCAUUCCAGCAUUCUUGGGCUUCCUUGGUGGCUCAGAUGGUAAAGAAUCUGCCUGCAGUGCGGGAGAUCUGGGUUCGAUCCCUGGGUUGGGAAGAUCCCCUGGAGGGGUGCAUGGCAACCCACUCCAGUAUUCUUGCCUGGAGAAUCCCCCUGGACAGAAGAGCCUGGCAGGAUAGAGUCCAUGGGGUCACACAGAGUCAGACAUGACUGGGCGACUAAGCACAGCAUACACAGAGAACUCUGAACAGAUUUCUGAGUGAAAACUGUAAUCUACCUGGGAGCCAUUAAUAACUGAAGGAAAAGUAGUACUUGCUACUUUAGUUUGGAAUUUUUUUUUUUCCAGAUUUGCAAGUUGUUUCUUUUUCAUUUUUAUCACUAAGAUGUGCUUAGUCGCUCGGUUGUGUCCAACUUUUUGUGACCCCAUAGACUGUUGCCUGCCUGGCUUCUCUGUUCAUGGGCUUCUCCACCUAGGAAUACUGGAGUGGGUAACCAUUCCCUUCUCCAGGAGAUCUUUCUGACCCAGAGAUCAAAUCUGGAUCUCUUGUAUUGCAGGCGGAUUCUUUACUGUCUGAACCACCAGGGAGACCCUAGCACUAAGAUAGGAGCUCAUAAUUUCAUAACUCUGAAGAGUUUAUGAUAGUAUUUAAUAGACACUCAUAGGCAUGUCUGGCUUGGUCUCUUGUGAUUUCACUGCUCCUUUCCCCUGGGUCCUUGUGUGCACAAGGUUUUGUUUGUGUCCUCCAAGGGUCUCUGUUUCCCCCAGUCCUGUGGAAGUUCUGUAAUCAAAUCCCACUGUCCUUCAAAGUCAGAUUCCCUGGGGAUUCCUAGUCCCUUUGUUGCACCCCCAGGUUGGGAAGUCUGAUGUGGGGGCUAGAAUCUUGGUAUUAUUGUUCUCCACUUUAUGGGUUGCUCCUGCAGUAGGUAUGUGAUUUGAUUUUAAUGUGAUUGCGCCCAUCCUACCAUCUCACUGUGGCUUCUCCUUUGUCCUUGGAUGUGGGAUAUCUUUUUUGCUGGGUUCCAGCAUCCUCUUGUUGAUGGUUGUUCAACAGCUAGUUGUGAAUUUGGUGUUCUCACAGGAGAAGAUGAGUGCAUGUCCUUCUACUUUGCCAUCCUGGGCUGGCUUUGCUUGCUCCUUGGAAGAAAAGCUAUUUUAUUUUCUUUCCAAAGACAAUCCUCAAAAGCGUAUUAAAAAGUAGAGACAUCACUUUGCUGGCAACGGUCUGUAUAGUCAAAGCUGUGGUUUUUUCAGUAGUCACGUACAGAUGUGAGAGUUGAACCAUAAAGAAGACUGAGCUCCAAAGAACUGAUGCUUUCGAAUUGUGCUCAAGAAGAUUCUUUUGAGAGUCCCCUGGACAGCAAGGAGAUCAAACCAGUCCAUCCUAAAGGAAAUCAACCCUGAAUAUUCAUUGGAAGGACUGAUACUGAAGCUGAAGGUCCAAUACUUUGGCUACUUGAUGCGAAGGGCCAUCUCCUCGGUAAAGACCUGAUGCUGGGAAAGUUUGAGGGCAGGAGGAGAAGGGAACAACAGAGGACGAGAUGGUUGGAUGGUAUCGCCAACUCAGUGGACACAAGUUUGAGCAAACUCUGGGAGAUAGUGAAGGGCACGGAAGCCUGGCAUGCUGCAGUCCACAGGGUUGCGAAGAGUUGGAUGCGACCUAGCGACUGAACAACAACACCACCACCAUUUAGUAAACAGUGGCAAUGAAACUUUGUUUAUUUAGGUUAUAUUUCCUUUUAGGGGCACAUUUAUUUUUCAGGUUAUAUUGUUUUUUUAAAAUCUUUAAUGCUGCUUUCAUUCAGCAAAUAUUGAUUACUACUAUGUGCCAAGCAUAUUCAUGGUUACAGAAUGAUAAUAUCUUUUUUGCCCUGGCUGUUAUAUUUCUUUGGUUAUUGAAUAUAUCUCUAAUUAAAGGUUUUACGGAUA